rnacentral:rRNA from 1 species
GGUUAAGCGACUAAGCGUACACGGUGGAUGCCCUGGCAGUCAGAGGCGAUGAAGGACGUGCUAAUCUGCGAAAAGCGUCGGUAAGGUGAUAUGAACCGUUAUAA